UAAGACCUACUGACACACCACGCACCACUAUGCAGAGCCGCCAGAGAGAGCUCACCGUCCGUACUCAGGAAACAACAACAGCAGUAACCACAGAAAUCUUGACUCAGAAACAGGUAGGAACUUAUCACAGAAGACAGCCAAGAGGAAGCCCAUCACCCUACGUCAGGUGUUUUGUGACGGCCUUCUCCUCGCCUACGCCGUCAAUAGUGAUUAUUUGGAGUUCUUUAGCAGCUAUGAAUUUAAAAGCCACUAAAGAGUCAACAAUCUGUACACUAUCUUAAGAGGCCAACCUUUAAUCACUGAAUAUUUUGCGUAGUUGAUAAUUUUUAUUCAGUAUUAAUUGUCUUAUAUUUGUUAUCUUUAGUAUAUGAAACAUUCUGAUUAUUUUUGUUCUCAAUAAAUCCACAAGACAAUG